CGCGUAGGCGGUCGGGUAAGUCGAGUGUGAAAUUCCGAGGCUCAACCCCGCGAACUGCAUUCGAUACUGCUCGACUAGAGGGAGGUAGGGGCGAGUGGAAUUCCCGGUGUAGCGGUGGAAUGCGUAGAUAUCGGGAAGAACACCGGUGGCGAAGGCGGCUCGCUGGGCCUUUUCUGACGCUGAAGCGCGAAAGCGUGGGGAGCAAACAGGAUUAGAUACCCUGGUAGUCC
rnacentral:rRNA from 1 species